AUACUGGUUCCAACCUGAUGAAUUAUUCCAUCCAUCUUUCCAUAUAGGUACUUCCAUGGCCCCAUAAUAGUCCCCCCAUCCUGUUGCUUCCACAGGCUGGUGGUCCCAGUCUCCCCAUCCUGUUGCUUUCACAGGCUCAUUAGAAUUUCCCCAUCCUGUUGCUUUCACAGGCUCAUUAGUAUUUCCCCAUCCCGUUGCUUCCACAGGCUCCCCACAAUCUCCCCAUCCUGUUGCUUCCACAGGCUCCUCAGAAUCUCCCCAGCCUGUUGCUUUUACAGCUCCCUUAUUCUGAGUACAACUAAG
rnacentral:lncRNA from 1 species